GUUUCCUUAACUCUUCGAGCAGCUCUCUUCUCAACAUUGAUCAUCAAAAACCAUCAAUCUCUCAUCAAAACACCAUGGGUCUCUCAUCAAAACAACAGCUUUCAUCAAAACACAUCUCGAUUAGGGCUCGACUGUACUCAUCCAUCGCUACAGUCGUCGAUUAAGAUUUCAAUCCCUCUUCUUGUUCGUGUCUAUCUCUCAGAAGCCAGCCCAUUUCCUCUCUCAUCUCCCUUCACCUACAAAUCAUAAAGGAAGAAGCUCAGAGUUUUGAUUCAUUUGCAACACACCACGAAGCCCACUUGAAAUCACAAACCCGUAUCUACUGAGCAAUUUGACGGCGGCUCCUACCAGACUUAAUCUACACCGUGAUCUAUCGAAGCUUCUGGGUUCAGCUUGGGGUUUCAUAUGUGGUUUCUGAAUUGGGUUUUGAUUUGAGUUCCAAAAGGUGGAACGCUACAGAUCCGCCUCCACCAGCUCUCACUACCUCCUCAAGUGCCUCGGUCACAUCCGCUUCCCGAACUUCGACGACAUCGUUUUCGAUACGUUUUCGAUAAGUUUGAGGCAUAUCAACAGACAAUUGUUUCGCUGGAUUGAGGGAAAUUAUGGCUAGAAUGAUCAUCAUCACAUCACUGAAGUUCACUUGGAUUUGAGGAUUUAUUUAAUGCUUCUGAGGGGUAAGCUAGCAAAACAUUGUACUUAAUUAUUCAUUUCUGUGACCUACCGAGUAAUUUCAAUGUAUAAAUUUCACUUUAUAAUGUACAAACGACAGUCCAUGCUUCACAAUCUUCUUCAAUAUUUAUAUGUUAGUAGCAUUCUCUUCGAUCUAGUUGUGAAACUAAAAACUCCUUAUUAAAGUUAGUUAGUUAGUCUACAACUGUGCAGUAUUACAAUCUAGUUUGAGAAGCUUCUCCUAUGUUUUCAAUAUCCAUAAUCAAAUAACACACUUUGUACCAAUUUUGUCUUGUCAUUAGUCGGGAUGCCUUUAAUUUGGAAGAUGGUGUACACUAUCCAGGUCAAUUGA
rnacentral:lncRNA from 1 species